AUUCUGCCCAUGCGGGGAAGGAUGAGAAGCUUCGACUAAGGUUCGACUCGAGCGCCAGCGAGAGAGCGUUGCCGCAGGCAACGACCCAAAGGGCGAAGCGCGCAGCGCUGAGUAAUCCUUCCCCCACCACCA
rnacentral:sRNA from 1 species